UAAUACGGGAGUGGCAAGCGUUAUCCGGAAUUAUUGGGCGUAAAGCGUCCGCAGGCGGCCCUUCAAGUCUGCUGUUAAAAAGUGGAGCUUAACUCCAUCAUGGCAGUGGAAACUGUUGGGCUUGAGUGUGGUAGGGGCAGAGGGAAUUCCCGGUGUAGCGGUGAAAUGCGUAGAUAUCGGGAAGAACACCAGUGGCGAAGGCGCUCUGCUGGGCCAUCACUGACGCUCAUGGACGAAAGCCAGGGGAGCGAAAGGGAUUAGAUACCCCUGUAGUCCUGGCCGUAAACGAUGAACACUAGGUGUCGGGGGAAUCGACCCCCUCGGUGUCGUAGCCAACGCGUUAAGUGUUCCGCCUGGGGAGUACGCACGCAAGUGUGAAACUCAAAGGAAUUGACGGGGGCCCGCACAAGCGGUGGAGUAUGUGGUUUAAUUCGAUGCAACGCGAAGAACCUUACCAGGGUUUGACAUCCUGCGAAUCUCUUGGAAACAGGAGAGUGCCUUCGGGAACGCAGUGACAGGUGGUGCAUGGCUGUCGUCAGCUCGUGUCGUGAGAUGUUGGGUUAAGUCCCGCAACGAGCGCAACCCACGUCUUUAGUUGCCAGCAUUUAGUUGGGCACUCUAGAGAGACUGCCGGUGAUAAACCGGAGGAAGGUGUGGAUGACGUCAAGUCAUCAUGCCCCUUACAUCCUGGGCUACACACGUACUACAAUGCUACGGACAAAGGGCUGCAAGUUCGCGAGGACAAGCAAAUCCCAUAAACCGUGGCUCAGUUCAGAUCGUAGGCUGCAACUCGCCUACGUGAAGGCGGAAUCGCUAGUAAUCGCAGGUCAGCAUACUGCGGUGAAUACGUUCCCGGGCCUUGUACACACCGCCCGUCACACCAUGGAAGUUGGCCACGCCCGAAGCCGUUACUCCAACCCUUGUGGAGGAGGACGUCGAAGGUGGGGCUGAUGACUGGGGUGAAGUCGUAACAAGGUAGCCG
rnacentral:rRNA from 1 species